GUGCUCGCUUCGGCAGCAUAUAUAGUGAAAUUGGAACUACAGAGAUGAUUAGCAUGGCCCCAGUGCAAGGAUGACACACAAAUUCGUGAAGUGUUUAAUAUUUAA